UACGGAGGAUGCGAGCGUUAUCCGGAUUUAUUGGGUUUAAAGGGUGCGUAGGCGGUCCGGAAAGUCAGCGGUAAAAGCCCGGGGCUCAACCCCGGCGAGCCGUUGAAACUGUCGGACUAGAGACGGCGAGAAGUACGCGGAAUGCGCGGUGUAGCGGUGAAAUGCAUAGAUAUCGCGCAGAACUCCGAUUGCGAAGGCAGCGUACCGGCGCCGGGCUGACGCUGAGGCACGAAAGCGUGGGUAUCGAACAGG
rnacentral:rRNA from 1 species